rnacentral:rRNA from 1 species
GAUGAACGCUGGCGGCGUGCCUAAUACAUGCAAGUCGAACGCUUCACUUCGGUGAAGAGUGGCGAACGGGUGAGUAAUACAUAAGUAACCUGGCAUCUACAGGGGGAUAACUGAUGGAAACGUCAGCUAAGACCGCAUAGGUGUAGAGAUCGCAUGAACUCUAUAUGAAAAGUGCUACGGGACUGGUAGAUGAUGGACUUAUGGCGCAUUAGCUGGUUGGUAGGGUAACGGCCUACCAAGGCGACGAUGCGUAGCCGAACUGAGAGGUUGAUCGGCCACACUGGGACUGAGACACGGCCCAGACUCCUACGGGAGGCAGCAGUGGGGAAUAUUGCACAAUGGGGGAAACCCUGAUGCAGCAACGCCGCGUGAAGGAAGAAGGUUUUCGGAUCGUAAACUUCUAUCAACAGGGACGAAGAAAGUGACGGUACCUGAAUAAGAAGCCCCGGCUAACUACGUG